AUGUGCAUAGUGUUCUUUCUGGUAGAUCCAUCAGGAUUAUUCAGGAUCACUGCAUUGCCACUAAUGGAGGAGUCCAUUACAUUCGAUUGUACCACAGUGUAUCAGUCUCUGUACAAUGUUCUCCUGGUUCUGCUCUUCUCACUCUGCAUUAAUCCUAGAGAUUGUUCCAGUCUCCAUGGAAUUCCUCCAUUUUAUUAUUCCUUUGAGCGCAAUAGUAUUAUCACCAACAUAUACCACAAUUUGUUCAGCCAUUCCCCAAUUAAAGGGCAUCCCCUCAUUUUCCAAUUUUUGGCCACCACAAAGAGCACAGCUACCAACAUGUUCUUUUCAAGCUGUCCUGCUUGUUUGCAUUUCCUUCUUAACCUUCCAUUCUCUGUUCAUUUGAAUAAAUGUUCCAAUGAACAGAGACUUUGUCUUUUUAACUUUUUUCUUUUCUUUCUUUUUCUUUCUUCCUUCCCUUCUUUCUCUCCUUCCCUUUUUCUUUCUUUGCUUCCUACCUUUUUUCUUUUCUUUCUCCCUUUCUCUUUCUUUUCUCAGUUUCUUUAUCCCUUUCUCUCUCUCUUUCUUUCUUCCCCUUUCUUUCUUUUCUUUUUUUUAAACCCUUACCUUCCAUCUUUGAAUCAAUACUGGUUAUUGGUUCCAAGGCAGAAGAGUGCUAAGGGCUAGGCAAUGGGGGUUAAGUGACUUGCCCAGGGUCACACAGCUGGGAAGUGUCUGAGGUCAGAUUUGAGCCUAGGACCUCCCAUCUCUAGGGCUGGCUCUCAAUCCACUGUGACACUUACCUGCUCUUUCAUUCUUCCCUUUCCAUCCCACUUGACCUGUUGUAACAGCUCCCUAUAACAGUGAGGAGAAGACAGGGUGUUAAAGUCUGGGCUUCCUUCUUCUCCCCCCAAAUCCCCAUCUCCCACAAGAUCAAGGCUCUGCGCUCUAAAGUAGGUCUUGUGGUUGCUCUUUUUUUCCAAAAGCCGGUGCUUGGACCACCACCCUCUGUCUUUUUAGGGUAGAGAGAAUUGUAUCCUUUUUAGUGACCCAAACCUUUGAGGAGUCUGACACCCUUUUAGGAAAAAUAUAUUUUUUAAAUGCACAAAAUACAAUUUACAAGAUCAUAAUGAAAACCAAUUUUUAAAAAAGUUAUCAAAAUAUAUUUUUUAAAGUUUAUAGACACUCAGGUUAAGAAUCGCAGCUGUGGAAGGCCUACUCCCUGAACUCUCAAAUUAGAGGCUAUUCCUGAGGCAACCCCUAAACCCAUGUGUAAAUUCUUCUUUUUUUAAACCCUCUCCUUCCAUCUUAGAAACUCUACUGAGUAUUGCCUCCAAGACAGAAGAGUCUUGGAGGGCUGGGCAAUGGGGGUUAAGUGACUUGCCCAGGAUCACACAGCUCAUUGUGAUCUGAGUGUGUCUGAGGCCACAUUUGAACCCAGGACUUCCAAUCUCUAGGCCUGGCUCUCUAUACAUUGAGCCACCUCACUUUCCAUUUAUAAACAUUCUUAAUUUAUGUGUACAUGUGUUUUACUUAACCCCCUUGGAAGGUCCUUAAGAUUACUUCUUCCAUCCUAUCCCCAUUUCACAGCUCUGAAUUGAGAGAGAGCAGAAAGAGUUGGAAGAGAUGGGUGGCUUGACUGGGGUAGUCAGCUCGUCUAUGCCUCAGGUUCCUUCUUUAUAAAAUGAAAGGCUUGAACUUGAGGGCUGUCUCUAGAGCUCCCAGCUUUAAAUCCUGUGAUUAAUUUAUGAGACUGCCUGUGUCCUUGCCGACCUCCCCAGGCCCACAUUUUAUUCUUCUCUCAUCCCUGUUCCUGCCAUUCUAUGAAGGUCAGACAGAAAACCCAACAAUUUCUUUUCUAACACAAAGUAACAGAGGGGACAGCUGGGUGGCUCAGUGGAUUGAGAGUCAGGCCUAGAGGCAGGAGGUCCUGGGUUCAAAUCUGGCAUCAGAUACUUCCUAGCUGUGUGACCCUGGGCAAGUCACUUAACCCCCAUUGCUUAACCUUUACCUCUCUUCUGCCUUGGAAGCAAUACACAGUACUGAGUCUAGAAGCUAAUGAUCUCCUUUUAGGAAAAAUGUGUUCAAAAUGCACAAAAUAAAAUUCACAGGAUGUAAGAAAGUAACCCCA
rnacentral:lncRNA from 1 species